rnacentral:rRNA from 1 species
UACGGGGGGGGCAAGCGUUGGUUCGGAAUUACUGGGCGUAAAGGCUCGUAGGCGGCCAACUAAGUCGGAUGUGAAAUCCCCAGGCUCAACUUGGGAACGCAUCCGAUACUGGAUGGCUUGAAUUCGGGAGAGGGAUGGCAGAAUUCCAGGUGUAGCGGUGGAAAUGCGUAGAUAUCUGGAGGAAUACCGGUGGCGAAGGCGGCAAUCCUGGA